GCCACCCUACAAGUGACCAUUGCCCUAGAGGGCCCACUGGCCCCGCUGAAGCUGGUCCGGCACAAGAAGAUCUACGUCUUCCAGGGAGAGGCAGCUGAGAUCAGAAGGGACCAGUUGGAGGUGGAAGAGCAGCUGAUCCACGUACGUGCACGACGGGAGCAAGACACUGACAGACAGUUUUGUCCUGAUGGCUAACCCCUCCGAGAUGGACCACCAGAGCCAUCCUGUGGCCUUCACUGUCACUGUCCUGCCUGUCAAUGACCAACCCCCGGUCCUCACCACAAACACAGGCCUGCAGAUGUGGCAGGGGGCCACUGCGCCCAUCCCUGCGGAGGCUCUGAGGAGCACGGACGGCGACUCUGGGUCUGAGGAUCUGGUCUACACCAUCGAGCAGCCCAGCAACGGACGGGUAGUGCUGCGGGGGGCGCCGGGCACCGAGGUGCGCAGCUUCACGCA
rnacentral:lncRNA from 1 species